rnacentral:rRNA from 1 species
AUUGAACGCUUGCGGCAGGCUUAACACUUGCAAGUCGAGCGGGGGAAGGUAGCUUGCUACCGGACCUAGCGGCGGACGGGUGAGUAAUGCGUAGGAAGGUGCCUAUUAGUGGGGGACAACAUCUCGAAAGGGAUGCUAAUACCGCAUACGUCCUACGGGAGAAAGCAGGGGAUCUGAGGACCUUGCGCUAAUAGAUGUGACUAAGUAGGAUUAGCUAGUUGGUGGGGUAAAGGCCUACCAAGGCGACGAUCUGUAGCGGGUCUGAGAGGAUGGUCCGCCAAACUGGGACUGAGACACGGCCCAGACUCCUACGGGAGGCAGCAGUGGGGUAUAUUGGACAAUGGGGGGAACCCUGUUCCAGCCAUGCCGCGUGUGUGAAGAAGGCCUUAUGGUUGUAAAGCACUUUAAGCGAGGAGGAGGCUACUCUAGUUAAUAACUAGGGAUAGUGGACGUUACUCGCAGAAUAAGCACCGGCUAACUCUGUGCCAGCCGCCGCCGUAA